GACCCUGUCUCAAAAAGACAAAAAAAGAUUUAUACUCCCUAAACCUAUAAAUCCUAAUCCACACAGAAAAAUGGUAAGCUAUUCCUUAGUCUAGGAGCAAAUGAGUCCUGAGAGAUUAAUUUCCGAGGAUGUAACAGAUUUGACUACGCAAGGCAGUGUGACACAUCUACAAUUCCAGGACCUCAGACCCCACACCACUGGCGCGCCUCCGCUCCUCGCGCGCCCUGACGCCCCCGACUGCCGCGCGCCCUGCAGCAGGCUCCUCAGGGGUUCUGGACCUCGGCUGGCUCUUCUCUACAACUUGGGUAUUAACAGACCUGCCUUGAGGAGCUGAAGCCCUUAGGCCUGAAAAUGAGAAGCAACCUCCCAAAUCGCCUGCAAGACAGGAAAAGGAAAGGAAACCUCAACACAGAAAAAGCCUACAGUGAAAAUCACAGAAAACAAAAACAGAAGAAAGCCAGAACAUCAUAGUCUGAAAAUGAAGCCACACAGAAAAGCUAAAGAAUGAAGCCGGUGUGAAUAGCAAAGAAAAAGUCUCCAAAAUUUGGUGUCCAGAUGAUGGAAUAUAGCAACAUGAGGAAGAGAAGAAGGAAAGUGGGUCCCUGAGACCCAGAAAGAUCUGAAGCAACAACUGAAGCCCAUUGAGAGACCAAAGAAAGAGACUUCCAUAAUGAAGAAGGUGACAAGUUGUGCUUUCUCCCUAAGCUCUGACUCACGGUGGGAGUGGCAGCUCAAACCUUCAAACACACAGUGACUACUGGUGAACUGAGACCUUCCAUGCCAGUGGAACGAUGUGGUUGCAGCAGAUUGAAGUGGCUAGUGAGUUAUUCAGGUUCAAACAUUGAAGCGAGGGGACUGGCUAUAGCCAUCUUAGAGAGGGGCCAACUGAACUGGGAACUCAGAGCAGCUGUGGGCUGCCUCCAUCUAGUGGCUCCCACUAUCAGGGUAAGGUAGAACUAAGUCCAAAGGAGCAGAAAGCACAAGAAUGUUGCAGGCUGAACAAAUGAGGUUCCAGCCUCACAGGAAGAAACCAGCCUGAACUUCAGUGGAAUUAAACGUGCAGGCUCACUAGGAUUAUCUACUGCCCUGAGGUAAAUCUAUGGCUGGCUUACUGGGAUUAAUUAACGUCCUAGACUGUCUGCCCACUUUGUCCACAGUGAAGGCAGAGACCUGCCUUGAAGUGAACAUCUUUAAAUCUUUUCUUGUUUUUUAUUACCUGUUUUUGAGUUCAUUUUUCUUUUUUCCUUGAUUGAUUGUUCUUUUUUACGUGAGUGUGAACAUUCUUUCUAGUUUUUUGUCAUUUUUGUUCUAUUCUGUUUUUAUUUCUUCCUUUUCCUUUCCUUCCUGUCUUCACCAAUUUCCCAAAGUGUGCAUAAUCUUCUUCUUGCUUCCAGUCUUCCUCUUCUUUUAUUUCUCUAUUUUUCCCCCAUAACACAUUUUAAAUUUUCUGAGUAUAAAAUCGCCAU